rnacentral:rRNA from 1 species
GACAGAGGGUGCAAACGUUGCUCGGAAUUACUGGGCGUAAAGCGCGUGUAGGUGGAUUGGUGUGUCAGAUGUGAAAUCCCUGGGCUCAACCCAGGAACUGCACCUGAAACUACCAGUCUUGAGUGGUGGAGAGGGAAGUGGAAUUCCACGUGUAGCAGUGAAAUGCGUAGAGAUGUGGAGGAACACCGAUGGCGAAGGCAGCCUCCUGGGCCAGCACUGACGCUCAUGCACGAAAGCGUGGGGAGCAAACAGG